rnacentral:lncRNA from 1 species
CUACAAGCUAGAGAUGCACGAUGGCAAUCACAGUGAAACUGAUCAUGCGUGCUAUUAUUGAACUGGUUGUAGCUGUCCAGGUUGCAGUCAAAAGGAGGCAGCUCUUUCCGAACAACAUUUUAAGAAGCAUGGAAGAGGAGUAUGAGGAGGACAUGGAGAGGGUGGUGAGUUUUCUAGUACAAUAUCGUUAAUUUUUGUACUUGUUUUAUUGUUAUUUAUGGGAAAAUAUUUACCGCCUUCUAAAAAAAAUUAAGAUGGAAGUUGUAAUGCUAUCUUGCAGGUGGAUCCAACUGGAUCCCCGUUUUUUGUGACGAAAACAAAUUUCACUGCAAUGUGUAUUUAUUAGUUCAUUGAAAAUGUGUUAUUUUGCUUGCUUAGAUGUUUAAUUGGUUGGUUAAUGCUGAGCAGCAUGUCUUAAGUCUAGGUUGCUUCUUGUAGGAACAAAUAAGGCGUAUGCAAAGUGUGUUUAAUAGAGAAAGGGAUAAGUAUAGAAUAAACUAUGAGAGCUGGAAGGAAAAUGGUGUUGGUGC